rnacentral:rRNA from 1 species
GCAUAUCAAUAAGCGGAGGAAAAGAAACUAACAAGGAUUCCCCUAGUAACGGCGAGUGAAGCGGGAUGAGCUCAAAUUUAAAAUCUGGCUGGUUUACUAGUCCGAAUUGUAGUUUAAAGAAGCGUUUUCGGUGGCAGCCUGGGUAUAAAUCCUUUGGAACAGGGUAUCAUAGAGGGUGAGAAUCCCGUCUUUGACUCAGUGCAUGCUACUAUGUGAUACGUUUUCAAAGAGUCGAGUUGUUUGGGAAUGCAGCUCAAAAUGGGUGGUAAAUUUCAUCUAAGGCUAAAUAUUGGCGAGAGACCGAUAGCGAACAAGUACCGUGAGGGAAAGAUGAAAAGAACUUUGAAAAGAGAGUUAAACAGUGCGUGAAAUUGUUGAAAGGGAAACGCUUGACACCAGUCAUGCGAGCGGAAAAUCAGUCUUUUGCAGUGGGGAGUUGUGUGGGUUCGGACCGCAAGGCCGGCCUGCGCUGCAUCUCUGCUGUAAGUGAUGCACUUUUUCGUUUGCAGGCCAACAUCAGUUUCUUCUGCUGGACAAAACUCUUGAGAAGGUAGCAGCUUUGGCUGUGUUAUAGCUCUUGAGCGAUACAGUGGAGGGGACUGAGGUUUUCGCAGCGCGUGCUCUCGGGCAAGGCUGAUUGGGUGCUAUGGGAUCGUUCGGUGUACAAUGCUUGCAUUUUGCGCCGUGUCUUUUCUGUACUCGCUCAACUCGGCUCUUCCGCGCUUAGGAUGUUGGCUUAAUGGUUUUAAUCGACCCGUCUUGAAACACGGACCAAGGAGUCUAACAUAUAUGCAAGUGUUUGGGUGGCAAACCCAUGCGCGUAAUGAAAGUGAACGUAGGUGCCAUCCGCAAGGUGCAGCAUCGACCGAUCUUGAUAUUUUUGGAUAGAUUUGAGUAAGAGCAUAUAUGCUGGGACCCGAAAGAUGGUGAACUAUGCCUGAAUAGGGUGAAGCCAGAGGAAACUCUGGUGGAGGCUCGUAGCGAUUCUGACGUGCAAAUCGAUCGUCAAAUUUGGGUAUAGGGGCGAAAGACUAAU